rnacentral:lncRNA from 1 species
ACAUAUCAGAAAUUCAGAAUCAAAUUACAUGGAGCAUCAGAUGUUUUCAAUAUUUUAUUUUCCAGGUAUAUACCCUUUGGUAGGUCUCUCUAAUUGUCAACUUCAUUCCAUAAAUAUUCUAAACUUCCAAUUUCAUAAAACUCUAGAUUUUUUAAUGUAGAUGAUAUUUUUUCUCAGAUUUUUCAAAAAAAUAAUUAUUAGUUAUGCAAUAUUUGAGAAUUUAACACGAAUACGAUAUAAUUUUUUGGAAUAUUCAAGUAACACGUAGCUUUUUACCUUUCGUUAACAAAUUGUAUAUGUAUUAUAUUAUAACGGUGUAGUGUCUUUUGCGUUACAAUAUAAUGUCCUAUACAAUUAACAUUUUACUAUCAAAGGUUCAAUAUAAUAGGUGGAUCGAAUCAAAAUAUUAAUACAAAAAAAAUUAAAAGUUUGCUUUCAAAAACUUUACUGUAAACAAAGGGGGAACUGCCCAUGUCAAAACCUAGAGUUAGCUAUUUUUAACUUAGUGCCCAUCCUUAGCUAGAAUAUCUGUAACUUGAUUUACUUUCGCGAUAUUUGUGUUACGUUUUAUUAAUACAUUACUAGAAAAUCAUGAUAUUUGUGUUGCGUUUUAUUAAUACAUGACUAGAAAAUCAUGAUAUUGUUGUGUUCAAUGCUUGUAUUAACAUGGUUAAAGAUGCAAUGGUUUUUUUGAAAAAAAUUCACAUCUUUUCCAUCGUAUUUAUGAAAGAUAUGUUGUCUGAAAAAAUAAUUCAUGCAUUAGCUUGUUUACUACUAAUACUUAAAAUUAUGCAACAUAUGUAAUUUUUAAUAAACCAAUUUAAACACUGAAUAUAGUCUCAUCAUAACUAGUAUAACAAACAUUCUAAUGUCAACAUUACUUAAUUAAUUAACACUAUUUUUAUACACUCUAUCACAUCAGUAGUUGAAGCCAGAAAUUAGCGAAAAAUAUGUAAAUAUUCUUUUCAAUUGUCAUAUGUACUCAUAUACACCAAAUAAUUUUUGACGAUUAGACUAUCCUUCGCUUAAAGUGGCUCCGCCCAUAUACCAAAAGACACUUAAAAGUAUAUAACUAAAAUCAUUAUUCCACCAUGAUCUCCAUACCCAAGCUUUGGUUCUUAGGAAAUUUCCUUUAUUGUCUUGGAGGGGUAAAGACAAGUUAAUCAUUUCACACACAAAUAGUGUGUGUUCAUUUCACAGCCAAAUUAGUAGACAAGUUUUAUAUAUAUAUACAUAUAACAUAACAAAUAAAGAUAUGCUGGAGUCUUGGAGAUAUUCAUUAAGAUGCUAUGAUUAUAUAUUAUUUCUAAUUUUACAUUUGAAGGCCUACAAUAUUUGGAGGAUAAGUUUUAAUUUUUAAAGAAUAUAAGACAAUGGAUGAAGAUAUAAUCCCCCCACCCCAACCCCAUAGCAAUAUACUUCUUUUAUUUUAAUUCACUUAUCAGAUUUUAACUUGAUAUAAAAUUUAAAAAAAUAAUUAAUAGUAUUACUUUUUGAGUGUUAUUUAUCUAUAACAUGUAUUAAAAUAUUUUUUAAUCUUAUGAUAGUUUUUUAAAUCAAAGAAUAUAUAUAUCAUCUAAUUAUUCACAUUAACCUCUAUAGGUCAUAAAAUCUCAAUCUUGUCGUCGUUAAGGCUUAAUUAGAACAAACUAUAAUUUGAGCAUCUAAGUAAAAUUUAGUGACUAGUUUAAGAGCUAUAACGCAUUACUAAUAUCAUCUUAUUCUUUUAUACUCAAAUUUUAUUAUGUCAUAUUGUUUAAGUCUAACAUUAGGUAACGACAAAAAGUACCAUUAUAUAUAACAAUUCGACAUAAUCAUGUUGUUACCUUAAUAUUUGUUUUUCAUUAUCUUUAUUCAUUAUUUAAUAAUUCUAUUUUAUACUUUACCCUACAUUUUUAUGGUAUGCCCUAUUUUUCUUGUAAGUUUAUCACUUAUGUAACGACAUAAACUAAUACAAUCUAUCCAAUUAUGUCAUAUGAUCAUUAAAAUAAUACGAUAUAAUAUAACAUAAUAUAUAUAUAUAUAUAUUUAUUUUUUUUUCUGCUUUGUUUUCUAAAUGCUAAGAUAAGUAUGAAAAUUUAGCGGUUAUAAAGUUCAAAUGCAAACAAGUGCAUGCAGAAUGUCUAUGUCAAGUAAUGUGUAGGGACUACAAAUCUGUUGUAAUGUAAUUUCCAGGAAAUUUCUCCCCACAAAACCCCAAAAGAACUCAUAACAAAAUACCAAAUAAAUGAGGAAAAAAGAGAAAGAUGCGAUACUUUGUCCUUUUUGUUUGUGAAAAAUUAUUUAGAUUCAACAAAAAUAAUUUUUAGCUAUAAUAAAUAUAAAUAUACAUAUUAACUAUUUAUUUUUUAUGAUCCAAUGUCGUUAUAAGUUUUAGAAACACUUACAAAGAAAACUAUUUAUUGUUAAUUAAUUGCUUUUAAAGAUCAUUUUGUGAUAUAAUACUUAUGUCUACAUCAAAUAUUAGUAUAGUGAAUAUGAUUUUUCUCGGGAAAAGGAUCUGAAAAAUACUUUAACUUUAGCCGAAAUUGUUGUUGCGAUGUCAAACUUUAUGGAUGACCUUUUUACCUCCAAACUAUUUAAUAGUCAAUUUUUUACCCUGAACUAUCUAAUAGUGUAUUUUAACGAUAUAUAUGUGCUCACAAAGACACAUUACAAUUUACAAUUAUGCAAUAUUUUUUUAUGUCCACGUGGAAACAUAUAUACCUUAAACUACAUUAUUAAAGGACAAAAAAUCAUUUCCAAAGUUUGAUAUCAUAACAGCAAUUACAAUCAAAGUUAAAAUAUAUUUCAAAACCCUUUUCUUCUUUGUCUUGGUAAAUCUUUACUCAUAUCCGAUAUUUUGUUAAAUACAUACUAUAUUAUUUGUUUAUCACUCAUCUAUUAAUUGAGAAGAGAUCAAUUAGCUAUGAUUUGAACUCAUACUAUCCACCUUGACAUGAUGAUUUUCUUUGCAGCCAUUGUCUGGAAAAUAUGGUGAGGAAAGAUAAAAGUAUCAAUUUCAGCCAAGAGAUCCAGGGACAAUAGUAUAGUCGAUCCACAAUAUAUCUAAAGAAGAGAUAGAAAAUUAUGAAAUGAAUAGUUUAGCAAAGUUGCUUACACUACAACAGAAAUAACUCUUAGCGUCAUUAAAUAUUGACACUAAUAAAGAGUGCUAAAGUCUUUACCGGUAUUAUUAAGUGCCAUUAGAACCAAUGACGCUAAAGGUGAGUGACAAUUGCCGCUUAGCAAUAGUGUUAAAGAGCAACUCAAAGAACAACUAUUGCUUGCUAUUUUGAGCCAACAAUAAUAUUUAUUUGUAUUCUUGAUUAUGUUCAUUUAUAGAUUAAAUAGAAAAAUCUUAAAAAAUAUAUCCUCCAACAUACAUUAUAUUUAGGGAAAUGUUGUAAAGGUAGUUGUUGAUGACAUAAACAAGGUGGAAAAAAGCUUGUGUAUGCAUGAUUUUAAUGCUUGUGCCAACUUUUAAUAUUGCUAUAUAUGUGUCCAAACUCCUAAUAGACUAUCUUUAUCAUAUAUAGGUGGAAACUCUUACACAACUUCAAGAGUAAGCAACUGAAUAAGGAGGAGACGGCCAAAUACAAAGCAGCAUAAGAAAUGAUCAAGUCAUCACUUAAUUCUAAGGUAAGUUAGAGUCAUUUUUAUGAGCUAUACAAUGUUCACAAAGCACUGUAAGUGUGGAUAUAUUGAGACAUGCAAAGUACCAUUUGUACAUGAGUUUGGUCCUAACUCAAGUUUAUGGCCCACAAUGAU